rnacentral:tRNA from 1 species
GCGUUCGUGGUGUAGUGGUCAGCACGCUCGGCGCGUAUUCGAGAGGUCCGUGGUUCGAGUCCCGGCGAAGGCG